GGGAGCAUUCCAAGCCCGAGACGUACAGGCAGCGAGCUCUGCACAUCCUUGUGAAAUCCUGAGGCAGGGAGCCUCAUGAUUUAAGAAGUGAGACAGACAGGACAUUGUUCUGCUCAGAACUUGGCUCUGAGGUCACAAUCAGCUGUGCUUUGUAACCACCACUGCAUCUGGCCAUCGUGCAAAGCAGGCUGGACACUGCAAAGCUGCACUGCAUGUCUGUCCACUGCAGUGCCAUCCACCUCUCCCUCCUCCCCAGGAAGCACUGAAGACAGCUGCUGAUGCACUCACCCAGCGCUGUCACUCAGCAUUCACCUGGCCUGGCUGUGUGGAGGAGAAAACCGGAAUGGAAUAUUCCCCCAGCAAAAGCAGCAUGUCCUUUCUGUUCUGAACAGGAAACGGAGCUAUGCUGUCAUCAAAGUUUAUUCUUAAGAUAGUGCUGAGCCCUUCUGAGAGGCACUGCCAGGAACAGGGAGGCAUGGAUGGCAAGUGGACCUCACCAUGGACCUGGACCACACUCCCCGGCUGCUCCAUGCAUUCAGACUGCAGUGAGGAAACUGUGUAUUGCUUCUUUGACUUGCCUGCUUUGAUGACACAAGCUGCUGUGUUAGAAAGGACCUGCACACAGCCUGACCAUGGAACUAGCAGGAAACUGAGGUACCUGGUCCAGUGACCUACAGGGAAUGGAGUGCUGCCACUAACUUCUAAGUGAGCUUGGAAACAAAUCCUUCCCAGCUGAGCUUUCACAUGAGGCUGCCGACCGGGAGCCAACAUGGUUAGACUGUGAAGACCAGGUAAGCCAUGAACACAUUUCCACUACCCAUCCUGAGAGACAAUUAGAAUGCACUGUUUUAACCCACUACAUUUUGUGUUCACUUGUUAAGAGGGAAUAGAAAAUUCAGAGCCCCAAAUAAGACAAGAUCAAGGAAACAGUUCACAGAAAUGAGAACAUGCUGGCUUUUCAAUAUAUGCCGAAAAUGUUCCAACUCAUUACUGAAAGAAAUGCAGUGGAUUCAUUUCUUAAAUACGCGGACUGGAAAACUCAGAAAGAUCAGCUGAAGAUGUAGGAAAGCAGGAACUUUCCCAUACUGCCACAAAAUGUGAAAAAGACAACCUCUUUGGAAAACGAGGCAAUAUCUAUCAAUAACUGCUAUGUAAACAUGUUUUUGUUUAAAGAUGGGAAAAACCAGGGAAGAUGGUGGUUACUGCAAGGGGCGAAUAAAAAGAGGUAAUGGCAAUCUUUUGGAACUCCAAAAACACUGUUUCCUGAUGUGCUGCUCAAACUUGUGUGCUCAGUUUGUGAAAACUGAAUGCAACUGUACACUUAAGAUUUGUGCUUAACUUAAGAUUUGUGCUUUUUCCUGUAUGUUUCAUUUUUUGUUAUAGGUGAAUACAAACACAAAAAUUAUACAUGCACAAAAAGAUUUUUUAAAAUCUACUUCUGGUUAUUUUAUCCUAUAAGUCAGUUAUUCCCCAUUUGACCCUCUCCCCAGAAGAACAUUUGGCACUUUCUGAAGACAGUUUCUGGUCAUCACAAGUAGGUCAGGGUAGUUACAAAGGUGCUGCUAACUGUCCUAGAGUGCAUAAGACAACAAAAAAUUCUUCAGCCAAAGUGAGAAUAGGGACCAGGUUGGGACUCAAUAGUAACAACAACAGGGACAAAUAGUAAGUUCCACUGGAGAACCCUGCAAGACAAUACCUUACUUAGCUAGAUGACUGAAGUUAACAUCACUGGUCAUAAGAUGUAUUAACCACAUCCCCUCAAUGCUGUCCUUCUCAAUAAUACACACCCUCACUCUAGUUAUGAGUAAAAAUCGGACACAUUCAAUUCACAAAAUAAAUCACCAGAGCUCUUCAAAUGGGUCAAGAUCAUAAAGGACAAGGAGAGGCUGAGAACUGUCACAGGCUGCAGGAAGUUAACAUGAAAUCUAGAUGCAACGUGAGUUCUCGGACUGGAUUUUGGCACCGAAGAAGGACAUCAACAAAAUCGGUGAAAUGAAAGGUUUUAAGUUAAUGGUACUAUACCAAGGUUAAUCAACUGUUUCUUAAAAAUUAAUCUUUAAAUUUGCAAAGAAAUUGUACAACUUUAUGGGGGUUGCCAUGUGACAUUUCACAGAGGCUACACUUUCUACAAUCUUUGAAUAGGAUAAGCAUACCUAUCUCUUCAAAUGUUCAUCAUCUCUUUGAGAAUUUUCUCUUUUUAAUAACGAUUUUUAUGAUUGUGGAAGAGGUUAACAUAAAAAGUAGGGUGAACAGUACCCACUACAUUUGCCACUCUUGAGAGCUAGAAGUAUCCCACAAAAAGUUAAAACAUAACACAAUUUACAGUAAAAAAAAAAAAAACAAAAACAAAAAACUAAGAAGGAUAAGGUAACUCUACUUGAACUAGUGAUAGGUUUUGCUAGCCUAGGGUUUAGCUACAUCCUCCCAACUUGGUACCGGACCCAGAGAAGCAAGGUGUAUCUCCAAGAAUAACUUCUGCAUCCUCCUUCUCAUUCCUGAGAUAAAUAUCCCUACCACUCCCCAUGUGCCGAGCCGUCUCCAAUCCCAAGACUUCACAACCACCCAAGCUUAAACCUCCAACCCCCAGUAAAUCUGUUUCCUGUUCUACACAGGCAGAUGCUCCUUCAAAUCAGUGGUUCAUAUGUCAUUUUCCCCAGCUCUCAAACUCCUCCCCCAGCCAAAACUCAUAAAAGUAGCCCCACUUCUUUGUUCUCACUUGAGAGCCUCUAUCUCCCCUGCCCCAUCAAGUUCUCCUAUGCCCACAUUAAAGGCUUCAUCCUUUGUCUCCUUCUCUCUCUCAUUUUCUCUGCAACCACUUAAGACUGAGUGUCAAAAAUACUCAAUCACUAGUACUAACCAACUCCACAACAUAUUGUUAAGAGAAAAAAGGCAAUAUUCACAAUGUUAUGGUAGUACACUAAUAUUUAUAGGAAAAAGGAAAUGUAUACAUGCCUGUAUUUUUAUAUUUUAUACAUAUAUUGCUUGUUCAGAAAACAAAUAAUAUAUUGCUCACCAAAAUCACACUGAUAACCAUCUAAAUAAGUAUUUGCUAUAUAGUAGUUUGGAUGUAAAAUGCAUUCAAAUGUCUGAGGAGUAAAGGUUGAGUCACCAGCUUGGUGCUAUUGGGAGGUGAUAGAAUCUUUAAGAGGUGGAGCUAGUGAAGGUCUUGCAGAUAUUCAGGGGGGUGUGCCCUCAAAGUGCACACUGGGAUCCCCUACUUCUUCCUCUUUCUCUUUGCUUCCUGCUACCAUGAGAGGACCAGAUUGUUCUUUCAUGCACUCCUGCCAUGAUGUACUGUACUGCCACAGGCUCAACGGCUACACUGCCAACCAUGUACUGAAACCUGUGAUACCGUGAGCCAAAACCAACUCCUUGUAAAUCAGUAAUCCUGAAUAUUUUGUUACAGUAUCAGAAAGCUAAUUAGUCUUUCAUGUUCAAUUAUUUGGUGCUCAUAAUGCCUGCUUACUAAGUGCAGGUAAGAUGAGCUAAACAUUGGCAUCAGCUUCUCUAAAGCAAAUUGUUAGCUUUAUCUUCAGCACCACUGCCUUGUUAAAUCUUCCUCUUUCAUCUGAGCAAAUGUAAUUAGUUUUUCCAGGUCUUCUUGAUUCUAGUCUUUCUCAUGCUCAAUGCAGUUUUGCAAAUCUAAAACACAGAUGUCACUUAAAGCAGCACUCGCUCCCUUCAAGACUCAGUUAAAAGCCCUACAUCUGUCAGGCCAGCAAUGGUCCCUAUUUGAACUCUUCUCCUUCUUCUGUCCCUGAUGUCUCCAUGUACUCCUGUCCUACCAGUGCCAGUCAGGAACUCUGUGCCUUCACAUGGGCCACUGCUUUGACCACACAGGCUCUUCCUUGCUGCUUGUUGAGGCCCCUUUCCUGCAGGCUGUGCCUUGAUUUAUGGGAGAUACAGUGUGGGUAGUGAGCAUGACUUCCUGCCUGCCCUCAGAAAGCACAGUCCAGCACUGAUGUAAAUAAACCAUCUUGAUAAUGUAUCCAUCAAGGUCAAAUUCUAGAAGCUUAGCCCUCCUGAAGAAGGAAUUAUCCUCUUUCCUUCUGUACCACUAGAAAGAGCCCAUCAGUUCUUCACAAUGUUCUAUGAGUACUCCAACUUCACUGGUUUUGCUGCAGAACCGUUCCACAUAUCUCACCUGGUGCACCCCAAACUCUGCGCUCCCAAGCAGUCUCUUUGACUCACCACCUUAUUAGUGGGCACACAGCCCUGGUAUCACACAUGCCUACUCCAUAAAAACAUGCUGAAUAGGAGAACCAGAAGAGGAUCCGCCUCUGCCUGACAGGCAUCGCCACAGGAAGGCCCUUUCUUCUGUGCGGGCAGAGAGAACCAGAAGACCCUCUUCUGCCUGCCAGGUGCCACCACCAGACCACCCUUUCCUCUGCAUGCCCAAUGUGGGCAGAGAGAACCAGGUGAUCUGCCUCUGCCUGCCAGGUGCUGCCACUAGAAAGCCCUUUCCUUUGCACUCCCAGCACAGGCUGAAGGUGACAGACAGAUCCACCUCUGCCAGCUGUGCACUACCACCAAAAGGCCACGUCCUCAGGCAGCUGGUGUGGGCAGAGAGAACCAGCAGAUCCACCUUCACCUUCAGGGAGCUGUCACCAGAAGGCUCCUUCCUGCAGGCAGACAGCAGAAGCAGAGACACACAGCACCAAGUAAGCCCUAUGCAUCUGUAGGCCACCAUUGGAGGCCCUUGGUUCCUCAGACAACCAUCAACCACUAGCAGAAUCAGACAAACAUUCACCCCUGUGUGGCUGUCACUAUUGUGGGAGUCCCAGUGUAGACACACAGGCUGAGAGAAGCAGCACCACCUAUAUGCACACCUGAUCAUCAGUGAGGCCCCAGUAUAGUUAUAUAGCUCUGGAGAAGCCCACUCCACACCCUGCUACCUCCCUGUAAAUCUGGAAUUAGAGGAACCUAGGUGCCUGUCCCAUUCCUCUACACUGCCUAGAGGCAGCCAACACAGGAAGUCCCUGGGACCCCACAACCAACUUGUUGGGAGGAACCCAGGAAAAUGUCAAGACAAAGGAGCAAAGGCAAACUCAGACCUCUAGCCCACACACAGUAAGUCUGGGUGAUACAGUCAUGGAACAGAAGUCACAUACCUGAAAUCUCUGAGAGGAUAGCAACUGAAGUAAUGAAAAAACUUCAUGAGAUUGUAAAAGCAGUCAAAUCAGAAAUAAUGUCUCAGUUAAAUGAAGAAAUCACAAACAUACUGAAAGAAUUAUCCAGCAGGUCUAAAGAAGACAGAGACAAUAAAGAGGAGCAUAGGAAAA